rnacentral:lncRNA from 1 species
CAAAACACACCUCCAACCCACAGAGCUGGGUUGGAUGGAGGCUGUGCCCCUGGCGUCCAAGUGAAGGGACUCAGCCUCGGCGAGGGCCUCUAACCCAAAGUGGGGACAAAAAGGGAGACCCGCCCCUCCGGCUCGACAAUCAGAGGACGACUGGGGGAGGCAGGGGUGGGUCUCCUGAAGCCGAGUGGGCAGUGAAGGGAGGCUAGAGCCCUUGGCUUAGCCCUUGGCUACUACUGGCUCCUGUUCCGAGGCAGAACGGCAGGCAAGGGCAGCCAGAGCGAGGCCUCGUGCCCGCGUGGGCCUUGGGAGUCCGGGGCUGCAACGGAGAUCGGGGUCCUCAACCCGCCUCCAGCGGCUCGCCCUACCCGGCCUCGGCUUCCCCCGCGGCCGCCACUGUCCGAGCCGCGCCCGGGGAGGGGGCUGGGGGGAGCGAGUCGGGAAUUAUGGUGCGCGACGCCCCCCCCCCCCGAGGCCUAAGGUCCCCCGAGACCCGUCACCAGGAUCGCGGGCGCCGUGCCUCGCAGGCUCUUAGGGCCCGGUACUGCCUCCCGGCUCCCAGCGACAACCGGGGGAAAGCAGGAUGGCGGAAGGAAGGAGGAAAGCCGGCCGCCAUUAGCCAUAGCAGUAGUGAACGGCCGGGCGGCUUCAGCUUUGGCUCC